rnacentral:rRNA from 1 species
CUCGAGUAAAGUGCCCUCGAAUCAUAGACAUGGCUAUAUAAUAACCCUUUAAAUUUGGUUAUAUUCCUCCGAUCGGUUGAGCCGAAGAUCCUCCGAGGGAGCUAACCCGGAAGCAGCCGGCAGCCUAGACCGGAAGACCGCACCGACCUGGCAAUCUAAAAGUGGAGUGCCAGUUUGGGCUAAAAGUGGAACGUCAACAAAACUGACCGGGUACUGCUCGCCCGAGCAGAGCGCACGAACAACCGACCCAACCGGCACGCACACACGUACUCCAAAACCGGUUAGGCAUGGGGCGUAGGGCGUUGGUUAGGUAGGAGCGGAGUAGGGUGAGGGCGCGGUCGGUGGUGGGUUUGGUAUCGGGGGAAAGGGGACCUAGGGGUGUCGGAGAGAGCGGAGGAGGUAGGGAGGAGGUGCGGAGCGGCGGCGGAGGCGGAUGAUAAGGAGGAGGUGGUGGCAACGAUGAAUAGGUGGUGCGAUCGGGGAGGUGAAGUCGAAGGAAAAGAAGCAACAGACGUGCGCAGUCGCUCCGGACCGAGGUCUAGACCGCGCCCAAUCCGCUCGAGCCACCACCCUACUUACCCGUCCCCUCCACCCGCUACUCCCGUCCGUUGUCAGCCGAGCAGCGCUACACCACUUCGACGUCCCUUCUCCCUCCUCCAGCCGCUAUCCCCACGUCGCGCGAGCCGUGUGCUGCCCGCGCCGCCAGUUCCGGUUCCCGCGUCGACCCCUCAACGUGUGCGCAGCUCAUUGCCGCUGGCGUAGGCGACGGUUGUAGCUCACCGGUCUGUAACUCUGUACCUCCGGCUCACCGUGUUGUGGAGACGAUGUUGGUCAAGCGCACUACAACAUUGGCCGAAUCGGGGGUCGAUGUUGGCCACGGUGGCGACACCUCGAUAGGCUCCGGCCGGUACCACUGGAAGGUACAGCUUUCGACGUUGGUGGAGAUGUAUCGACCUUGGGCGCCGCGGCUUUCAACGUUGGUGACGGCCCCUUUCGACGUUGGUGAUGGGUUAAAACGUAAAAAAACGAUGGCAGCAAAUAAAAAAACGACCUUGGUCGUGUUAAAAAACGAUGGUGACCAAAAACCCAUACGACUUUGUUCGGGGUUAAAAACAUUAAAAACGAUGGCUGUCGCAAAAUCAAACGAUCUUGCUUGAAAUAAAAAACGAUGGUGGCCGCAAAAAAUAAAACGACCUUGUUGCGGGUUAAACGUACAAAAAACGAUGGUGGAAAAAAAUCAAAUGACCUUGGUCACGGUACAAAAAGAUGGUGGCAGCAAAACCUACGUUUGGUACCACAACAGCACACUUUUGGCCGUCUGGAGCGCCAUCCCCAGAGCUCACCUAUAGUCUGUAUACCAUUGUCCUUGUUCCUCUGCUACAAAUGGGUCCAAGUCCGGGAGAACUACCUCCAUUUUGGGAUGUAGGACGAGAACAAAUAUAACUACCUCUACAUAGCUUAUGUCUCAACUAGAUGGAGCUCUAGCAGUCUACACAAGAUUGAGAUCCCGAUCCACUUGCUCUAACGCAACUACAGUGGAGAUGUCCUAUUUGGGAAACCGAAUAUAUCUGCGGUACAUCCCGAGGAUCCCAAUGUUCCAGCCAUAGAUCCGCACCUCCGCCGUUCUCUUUAGAACCUCAUGUACAGUUCAGAAGCUGGUUACGUCAGAACUAGAGUGGAGCUCGCACGUUGAAGGCCUCAGGUAGAACUCUCAUUACUUCCGGGUAACUGGGUCGGGCCUCUUAUACCCGACUGAUCCAACCGUGGGGGAUCAGAUCCUGUGGCAGUCAUCGGGGACUUGCC